UACGUAGGGGGCAAGCGUUGUCCGGAAUCAUUGGGCGUAAAGAGCGUGUAGGCGGCCCGGUAAGUCCGUUGUGAAAGUCCAGGGCUCAACCCUGGAAUGCCGAUGGAUACUGCCGGGCUAGAGUUCGGAAGAGGCGAGUGGAAUUCCUGGUGUAGCGGUGGAAUGCGCAGAUAUCAGGAGGAACACCUAUAGCGAAGGCAGCUCGCUGGGACGACACUGACGCUGAGACGCGAAAGCAUGGGGAGCGAACAGG
rnacentral:rRNA from 1 species